CGCGUGGCACGGCCGGGGGCGCCUGCAGAGAACGCUCAGCGCCUGAACCACUUCGGCAGGGAGAGCGAACGAGGUGCCUUAAAUUUAGCUGUCAGAAGGUCGGGUGACUCUAUGCCUCCAUAGCCUCGAAGUUCUGACGUCUCGCUGAACCUGGUGCGAGGUAUUUGGCUUUACGAAUUUUCUGCAGAAAACGCCCGCGAACUGCCCGAGUCACGAAAACCCAGCAUGAGAAAGGUGCUGGGAUGCAGCAACCAAACACUCCCAGGGAUCGCAGCUGGAUUUCUGCACUAUUUGCUCCUCAUCUGGAAGUCACACUUGCAGCAGGGAUGAUGAUGAUGAAGCUUCAGGUGAAAAACAAAACAAAAGGAUCAGAGGAACACCUACACAUAAGGUAGCAUUCUCAUGCCAGAAUUUUUAGUCAAGAACAAUCAGACUACAAAAAACACACCCAAACUUUCUCCAGGAAUAAACAAAACAUUUAUCUCAACCAAGUGCCUGCAGGGGAAAAAAAACUUUAGCCACCUGUCUCAAGCCCUCCCACUUAGCCCAACUUCACUGAAGUUCACUGAAGUUCAUGGAAGUGGACACAGCUUGAAGAACAGCCCUAUGGAAACAAUACUGUGGUGAAACAAUUUGUCACUAGCCUUGGCAUUAACUCACCUGGUUAUACUCUCUAGCAUUUUGGAAGCUGGGCAGGAUACUUUUGCUGUCACACUAAUACGGAAUAAAUCCUUCUUUUCCACUCAACCCUCCCAACCCUUCCCACCUCAGCCAGCGAGUGGUUGGUGACAGGGUAGGAUGACAUCUACCUGCCAUCCAGACUGACAAGAACCCAGUGUCAGUAACCAAACCAGGCCACUGUCCCUGUGUCCAGGAAAAGGGAUGUGCAUGCAGUGUCUCCUACAGGAAAGCAGGUGGUGUAACAGGUAAACAAAAUGCAGUGAAAAAGUCAAAUAAAUAAAGCCUUGUAAUUUGUCCAUUAGCAUCAGAAGUAUUAAAGGACAUUGUCAAGUUACUACACCCAAAAACAAGACAGUGCCUGAUUCACUCCUCAGGUUAGUUUAGGUAGUCACAUCACAAGUCUGACCCAGAAUAUUUUUAAAUUACCAAAAACUGUAACGUGCACAUUAUUUUGAUACUUUAAGUCAGUAGGUUUGCUUAGGCUCAGCAAAAUGAACUGAAGUGGUGUGUUUUGUGCCUCUCAGGAGAUUUGGUGUUCUUAGAUAAGAAACCUUUAAAUGCUAUCCCAGGAUUUAGCACCUAAUCCACAUUCCAUAAAAAUAAUUCUAGAGAAUUAAAUAGGCUUUACAUCAGAUCUAUCAGGGUGUGUCUUCCUUCUCCAUGACCAGUCUUUCCUACUUGCUACCUACACCAUGAUGCACAACAAAACUGGGACUGUCUGCAGCUUGUUUGGCCAGCCAGAGGAGUGAGCUGGGCCAAGUUACCCAAACAAACUCCACAAGCCAAGUGUCCCAUUUCCUGUAACCUUCAGAGAUGAACAAAGCUGCACGAAACUCAGCACAAGAGAGGAGAGGCUGAGCCAUCAAACAGGAUUUACUGUCUCGGACACUGUUCCAUGCAGGUGUAGAAGUGCCACUUAUGCAGCCAGAGGUUUAUGCUCAGCUAUCCUUCCACUGGUGCUGUCAUCCUAUAGUUGUUGUGCAAACACAACAUAAAUACCAGGCACAUCUCUGAACUCUGAAAAUAGAAGUAAAAAUAGCUAGUUUCAGAAGCCAACACAGUUUGUCAAUAAUGUUUUAAGAAAUACUACAGAGGUGACUUUAAACUGGAACAUUUAUGAGUUCAUUCUUCCUAAUGAGUAGGAUGACUCUAACAUGUUAAGACUAGUAUAGCUUAGAUAAAACAAUAUCUGUAUCCAAUUGCUUAUAUCCUUAGAUUAUAUCACUGUAGAACCACCAAUACAAUGUAUUCACGGCACACAUUCGGGGAGCAAUCAGAAAGCUGUGCAUUUCUUCUAUGCCACACCUUGCAUACUGCAGCUUACUGGAGGCCAGCAGCACAAGAGAUCACCAGAUUCUGCAGCAUUAACUAAGCCUGAAUAAAUUAUUUUUAACUGCAACUAUCAAGCUCUUAUCCUCUUUAGGGACAGCCACAUUCUUUGUGUAUGUGCUGCAUACAAAAAAUUUAAUAACAUAUUUUCCAGUCCCUGCAGCACUGCUUGCCACUACCAGCAAUGGGCAGAAAGAAAUCAGGGCCACUUAGUAACCCCUUCCCAGUGAGAUUUUUCUUUCCAUCAAACUAUUUUGCAAUAAUUCAGAAAGCCUGUAACUAUUUCCUUUCAGUCACAUUACAUUUCUAAUGUAAUGUUAUUUCAUCAGAACUAGAAUUGGGAACACGGAAGUAAUGGAUUUUUCUCUAAGCUCCCCUCUAAAGCAAGCUUCCCUCAGUCCACCUACUGAAAGGGCAUUGUAAGGUGCCAGAAGGUUUCAGUGACCAUUUUCAAUUAACCUGCAGAGAAGCUUUGGAAUGGAACUUUAUUCUUCCCACAUAACUGAACUCAGAAGGAUGCA